rnacentral:rRNA from 1 species
GACGAACGCUGGCGGCGUGCUUAACACAUGCAAGUCGAACGGAAAGGCCCUGCUUUUGUGGGGUGCUCGAGUGGCGAACGGGUGAGUAACACGUGAGUAACCUGCCCUUGACUUUGGGAUAACUUCAGGAAACUGGGGCUAAUACCGGAUAGGAGCUCCUGCUGCAUGGUGGGGGUUGGAAAGUUUCGGCGGUUGGGGAUGGACUCGCGGCUUAUCAGCUUGUUGGUGGGGUAGUGGCUUACCAAGGCUUUGACGGGUAGCCGGCCUGAGAGGGUGACCGGCGACAUGGGGACUGAGAUACGGCCCAGACUGCUAGGGGAGGCAGCAGUGGGGAAUAUUGCACAAUGGGCGGAAGCCUGAUGCAGCAACGCCGCGUGCGGGAUGACGGCCUUCGGGUUGUAAACCGCUUUCGCCUGUGACGAAGCGUGAGUGACGGUAAUGGGUAAAGAAGCACCGGCUAACUACGUG